rnacentral:rRNA from 1 species
GUUGUCAUAUGCUUGUUUCAAGGACUAAGCCAUGCAAAUGUCAGAGUACUCGUGUCUUGAUACGAGGGGUCUGUGUACGGCUCAUUAAACGGUUUAUAGUCUCCCCAACAAAGAGGGCAGUCAUGCCUUCCCAUGGGAUAUCUUUGCGAAACGCAAAGCUAAUACCUGUAAGAAGAAUCGCUUGCUAUCAAACACCAAGGGGCAACCUGGAAGUGUGGCGGGCGAUGUGUUUGGCCGAAACAAAAAUAGAUGCUCGAACAGAGCAGCUGUAAUUGUUGACGCAGGCCAAAGUCGCGAAAGCACAAUUUUGUGCGACGUUGGACGAAUUUACCACCUAUCAGGUAUUGAAGGUAGUGUAGUGGACUACCUUGCCUCUGACGGGUAACGGAUUGGGGUUCGAUUCCGGAGAGGGUGCCUGAGAGACGGCAACCAUGACUAUGGUCAGCAGCAGGCGCGCAAAUUGCCCAAUGCCAACAAAUGGCGAGGCAGCGACGAAAAAUAGCAUUCCCUUAGGGGAUUUGCAAUGGACUGUACCCAAACAAACUGAUGAUUAUCUAUUGGAGGGCAAGUCUGGUGCCAGCAGCCGCGGUAAUUCCAGCUCCAAGAGCGUAUAUAAAUGUUGUUGCGGUUAAAAAGCCCGUAGUUGGAUUUGAGGAUGCUUCUUGUGUUCGACAUGUUGAAGGGGUUUCCUGGAUAUAUGUCGAGUACGCUUCGGAGGUAUCCUGACAUAUGCGGGAUUGUCCACUGGCCGAAGCUUCCUUAACUGGUAGCUGAAGCAAUUUCGGAGCUUCCACACUCCAUAAGGUGCGCCCGCAGACGUCACUGUGAGUAAAACAGAGUGUUCAAGGCAGCCAACUUGUUUGGUUGAAUGUUAAAGCAUGGAAUGACAAGGGAUCGACCACUGAAGCCGCUUUUUGUCUAUUACUUUAAGCCUCAGUGAGGAAACAUUGAGGGGGUGUCCUGGCGCCAUUCGUGGUGUCAGGCGCCCUUUUCGCCGGGAUCAAUAGGAGCACAGGGGGUCAUGAGUACUGGAGGGCUAGAGGUGAAAUUCCAAGACCCCUCCAAGACUGACAUCGGCGAAAGCACUCGACUAUUGUGCUUUCAUUAAUCAAGGACGAGAGAUAGGGGAUCGAAGAGGAUUAGACACCCUCGUAGUCCUUUCUGUAAAUUCUGCAGACUUGGGAUCGGUCAGCGUUCUACUUUUUGACCUGAUCGGCACCUUCCUCCGACAUCGAGAAAUCAAAGUCUUUGUGUUCCGGGGGGAGUACAUUCGCAAGGCUGAAACUUAAAGGAAUUGACGGAGAACCACCACCAGUCGUGGAGUGUGUGGCUUAAUUCGACCCAACACGGGAAAUUUUACCAGGCCAGGACGUGGCGAGGAUUGCCAGAUUGAAAGCUCUUGCAUGAUUCCGCGGAGGGUAGUGCAUGGCCGCCUCUGGUUGGUGAAGUGAUUUGUCUGCUUAAUUGCGAUAACGAACGAGAUCUCUGCCAAUUACUAGACAGCGCGUUCACUUUC